rnacentral:rRNA from 1 species
GAUGAACGCUGGCGGCGUGCCUAAUACAUGCAAGUCGAGCGAACGGACGAGAAGCUUGCUCCUCUGAUGUUAGCGGCGGACGGGUGAGUAACACGUGGAUAACCUACCUAUAAGACUGGGAUAACUUCGGGAAACCGGAGCUAAUACCGGAUAAUAUUUUGAACCGCAUGGUUCAAUAGUGAAAGACGGUUUUGCUGUCACUUAUAGAUGGAUCCGCGCUGCAUUAGCUAGUUGGUAAGGUAACGGCUUACCAAGGCAACGAUGCAUAGCCGACCUGAGAGGGUGAUCGGCCACACUGGAACUGAGACACGGUCCAGACUCCUACGGGAGGCAGCAGUAGGGAAUCUUCCGCAAUGGGCGAAAGCCUGACGGAGCAACGCCGCGUGAGUGAUGAAGGUCUUCGGAUCGUAAAACUCUGUUAUUAGGGAAGAACAAAUGUGUAAGUAACUAUGCACGUCUUGACGGUACCUAAUCAGAAAGCCACGGCUAACUACGUG